rnacentral:misc_RNA from 1 species
GGGUUUGUUCUUUAAAAGUGCUUGUGGAUUUUUGCAUCCUCAAGUGCCUGACUUUCAUAUUCUGUGAUCACUGCAGCAUAUUUUCUUGCACAUAGCUUGAACAUGUUUAACAUGUUCUAUUUUCUUCAUUCUUCUAAUGUUUUUAAAAUUCUCUAUUAACUAAGUUGGUUUAUCAAAUCUUCAAAAUCUGGAAUUAUAUUGUUUUUCCAUAAGCAUGCAUCAUAUACAUAACCUUCAUCAGUUUGUACUUUUAUUUCCUUUUAGUUUAUGAUGUGA